UUUUUUUCUUCUUUCUUCUUUUUUCUUUUUUCUUUCUGUU
rnacentral:ribozyme from 1 species